GCCCCCUUCGUCUAGCGGCCUAGGAUUCGUGGUUCUCAUCCACGCGACAGGGGUUCGAGUCCCCUAGGGGGUACCA
rnacentral:tRNA from 1 species